rnacentral:sRNA from 1 species
ACUUUGCGUUAGGGAUAGUAAUGAAAAUCCUUUUUGUGAGAUACGAACAAAAAGAUUGCAAUGAAUAGCCCGACCCUUG